AGUGAACGCUGGCGGUAGGCCUAACACAUGCAAGUCGAACGGCAGCACAGAGGAGCUUGCUCCUUGGGUGGCGAGUGGCGGACGGGUGAGGAAUACAUCGGAAUCUACUCUGUCGUGGGGGAUAACGUAGGGAAACUUACGCUAAUACCGCAUACGACCUACGGGUGAAAGCAGGGGAUCUUCGGACCUUGCGCGAUUGAAUGAGCCGAUGUCGGAUUAGCUAGUUGGCGGGGUAAAGGCCCACCAAGGCGACGAUCCGUAGCUGGUCUGAGAGGAUGAUCAGCCACACUGGAACUGAGACACGGUCCAGACUCCUACGGGAGGCAGCAGUGGGGAAUAUUGGACAAUGGGCGCAAGCCUGAUCCAGCCAUACCGCGUGGGUGAAGAAGGCCUUCGGGUUGUAAAGCCCUUUUGUUGGGAAAGAAAUCCAUCUGGUUAAUACCCGGGUGGGAUGACGGUACCCAAAGAAUAAGCACCAGCUAACUUCGUGCCAGCAGCCGCAGUAA
rnacentral:rRNA from 1 species